rnacentral:rRNA from 1 species
UGGGGAAUAUUGGACAAUGGGCGCAAGCCUGAUCCAGCCAUGCCGCGUGAGUGAUGACGGCCUUAGGGUUGUAAAGCUCUUUCGCCCACGACGAUAAUGACGGUAGUGGGAGAAGAAGCCCCGGCAAACUUCGUGCCAGCAGCCGCGGUAAUACGAAGGGGGCUAGCGUUGUUCGGAUUAACUGGGCGUAAAGGGCGCGUAGGCGGAAUUUUAAGUCAGGGGUGAAAUGCCGAGGCUCAACCUCGGAACUGCCCUUGAUACUGGCAUUCUUGAGUCCGGGAGAGGUGAGUGGAACUGCGAGUGUAGAGGUGAAAUUCGUAGAUAUUCGCAAGAACACCAGUGGCGAAGGCGGCUCACUGGCCCGGGACUGACGCUGAGGCGCGAAAGCGUGGGGAGCAAACAGGAUUAGAUACCCCCGUAGUCC